UCAAUUCGCUGAGUGGCUUCAAGCAAGAGGACAGUCAAAGCUGUUUGAGAGAACUAAACAGAAUAGAGAAUUACAGAGUGCUUCAGACUCACUUUUCCAAUGCUGCUAGUGAUGUAACCAGGGAUUCUACAGAAAGAGCAAAAUACAAGGGACUCCAUGAUGUUCUCACCUCUGUGUCCUUUGUGUUUAAUCUGGGAUUUAUGUAUGAUGCCUUAACAGAACUCAGUGAUUUCUCAAGGAUGCUCCAAAAAAGAGACACUACUCUGCCUGAAACAGAGAAGCUGCUGUUUCGACAGGUACGAGUGUUUGAGUCCAUGGUUUCAACACCUGGCCCCCACACGCAAACUGUUCUUCAAGCAGAAAUGAAGAAAACUUUCCAGAAUGUACCCCUGCAUGAUAAUCAAAAGAUUGUGAGGAUCAAUGCAGGACAAUUCUUUCACAGCAUGGCCGAAAACAUGAAAUCCAGGACAGCUACAACAACUUCCUCUCAUGUCAGUACACAUGAAAGCUUAUCUCAUAGAGGUGAAAGCAAACUGAUGACAGACUUAAAGGUUCUUCAGCUGGACACUUGGCCUGAGGGAAAUCUGGACAUACAGCAUGCCUCUGCCUCACUAAGCCAAGGAGAUGUGUUGAUGAAAGAUCUACCUGUGGCCAUUCAGUUCAACCCCACAACAUGAUUGUGCCAUUUCUGAAAACCAAUUACUGAAUUCAGUGCCACUUGUCACUACCAAGGCCGCAUUAACCAUUGGGCUAGGAAGGGCUGAAGCCCAGGGGCCUGAGCAAGAAGUAGAUUGACGGACAUCGGUAGUGCCGAUCGCCAAAGCUCCACCACGCUCCUCACUUUUUAGCACUAUUAUUUAGUGAAGUUUUUCCAUAAAUUCCAUGCAUAUCAUCAGAGAUUAAAACGUCACAUUUGAAUUUGGUUUUGAACGACCUGUGCACGUAUCUCCUAUCAGGUAAUCGCUGCGUGUAAUAUCUCUAUUCACCUCUCUUCACUUCUUUCUGGUGUAAUCUAGAAAUGGUCAUGCAAAGAACAAUCUUCGAUAAGUAAAAAUGUCAACUAUUUAAAAAAUAAAUAAAUAGUGAGAGAGGGGAAAGCAUCAGUUAGUCACUAAAAUCCACAGUUUAUUUUACUAAAACUGAUGAUGGAGUGGGAGUUGUGGAACAGCAAAUGGACCGGACAUGUGGAGCAGUUCAAAACAGUGUCAUCGUCCCCACAGAUUUUAGGUUAGUUUGAUUAUUAUCUUGAUGGAUGUAUAUUGCUUUUUGUGUUUGAACAAACUCUAUAGGCUUAGUAGGCUAUAUUCGCUUAUGGGAGAAAUUCCUUUUGCGCAUCAUGAUGUAAGCUUUUCAUUUAAACGCAUUUUAAGCAUUGUGGUUUAAAGACUAAUAUAACUGUUCAGGGACAUUAAGCAGUGGGGCCGAAUUCAUUUUGGAAAAUGCGCG
rnacentral:lncRNA from 1 species